CUUCUUUCAUUAUUGCUAGUUUUUCUUCAUCAUUUCACCUUCUCAGCUAUUUUCUCCUCCUCUCCUCUUUUUCCUCUCCCUUUUUGUUUCACAAGUCACACCAUUUUUGCUUCAUCUUGCUCUUCAAUUUUAUUUUCAACUUUUCUAUCACGGUUGAGAGGGUGAGAUAGUGAGAGAUGAUAGAGAGACGAGAAACUACAAGUGCAAAAAUGUGAUACUGAUGAGAGAAUGAGAAGGAUUAUUGGGGAUCUAGUGAAAAAGAUGCCGACCAAGUUCAGAAAGUGAAAAUAAGCAGCCAAAAUUCAUACCGGCCGGAAAAUGAAUUUCGGCCAAUUUCGGUUGACCGGAACGGGCCGAAAUGGGGCGAAAUUUAAUCCGAGGUGGAAUGGAGGGUAUUCCGUUUUACACACCGGUACGAUAUAUUCCGGCCGUUCCGGCGGAAACGGAACGGAAUCCAUAUCAUUGGUUACUGGGGACUGAGGCUUGCCGCUCUUGAUGGGAAAACAAGGCGGAGUUAAUUGGCAGCGUCUACCAAAGGUGAAAGAAAAUUUGCAAGUAUCUUGGUCAAUGGUGUUUUGUUGGAUGGAAUUGGGUGAUUGGCUGUCAUACAGGGCAAAAGGAGAUGAUACUUUAGUCUGUGCACCGCGGUGUGCAAAUGGACAUAUCUUGGUCAGGGAUAUAUGCAGAAAGUCAAUGAAAAAGAUUCCUGAGAUAUGGAAGCUAGUGGAUGGGAGUUCAGGACAGCUUAACAUGUAGCAUAUAUGAAAUAUAAUUAUUUUCUUGAAUGGGUCUUCUUUCUUGAUUUUUAAAAACUUAUACGUAAAUUUUGAGUGUAGUAAUUAAUAGCAAUAACCUUUUAUUGCCUGGUCAUUAUAAAAAAUUUUAUUUUUAAAUUUUAAAUUUCAAUUUUAAUUAUUUAUUCUACCCUUUGCAUUUUCUGCUGCAGUUUGUGACUUGGUAAUGAAUAAUGUCAACAGGACUGUGUAGCUUUUCCUGACCAUCUUUUGGGUUCUGGUCUUACUCCAGCUGCCGUGAAGGCAAGAAAUUUUGUACUGAAGAUUUCACAUUGAUUUACAGUGGCAUGACUUGAGGUCCAUUAGCAAAAAAACAUAUUUAUUUAGUUGCAAGAAAAUAUGAGUCACACUAUUUUCCUGGCCUUUGGAACUGGGUCUUGUAGCAGGAAUUCAUUUUGAAACUUCACUGAUUGAUGCUCAUGCUGGUGGCGUGGGGGUAAUGGAAAGUGUGCCACAUUUGGAUUCUGAAGCUAGAGAGUGUGAUAUGGAAGCUAUAUGCUACCACAUGGUGUUAGUCUGUGGAACUUCUACCUGCCAUAUGGCCAUAUCAAGGAGCAAGUUAUUCAUUCCAGGGGUCAGGGUACCGUUCUGGUCUGGUUGCCUUAUAAUUGUUCCACCAGGGAACAAGUUUGUGCUUUUGGGUGCUGCCAUUCUCGGAUCUUGGUGCAGUUUCUGCAAGGAAGUUUUAAAGUCUGAAUGAGGUCAUGAGGGCCAUGAAUGCAGCUGGUCAGGUAUACAAAAUGGUUCUUUUACUAUCAUUUUUAUUCUUUAAUUCAAUCCUAUUUCUUUAAAUUCAAGAUGAGGUGAGAAAGGUGUUCAAACUCGGCAAGGGACUUGAAUGUAGUUCUGGAGUAAAACCUUCCUCAUGGUAUGCUAUUCCAUAUAGAUGGAAUCUUCAUUGUGUUUGGUCUUGAUUUGGAAGCAGGACCUCAAAAGGUUUUGAUAUGUCAAACUUGCACAAAUAGCAUGGUAUCAUCUCAGAUAUUAUGUUUACAAUGCUUUGUUUAGCGAGACUGCAUAUGAGGCCUAGGCUUAUAUUUUCUCCAAGAUUGACCUUGGUGUAAGUCACUUCCUUUUUUCUUUUGUGAGUUUUGGGGAUAUUCCCAUUAUUUUUUAUUUA